rnacentral:rRNA from 1 species
GGUUGAUCCUGCCAGUAGUCAUAUGCUUGUCUCAAAGAUUAAGCCAUGCAUGUCUAAGUAUAAGCAAAUCUAUACUGUGAAACUGCGAACGGCUCAUUAAAUCAGUUAUAAUUUAUUUGAUGGUACCUUACUACAUGGAUAACUGUGGUAAUUCUAGAGCUAAUACAUGCAUAAAAGGCCCUUUACGGGGUUGUAUUUAUUAGAUAAAAGACCAAUGGGGCUUGCUCCUUUAGGUGAAUCAUGAUAACUGCUCGAAUCGCAUGGCCUUGUGCCGGCGAUGCAUCAUUCAAAU